rnacentral:misc_RNA from 1 species
GAUGAAGAACGUAGCGAAAUGCGAUAAGUAAUGUGAAUUGCAGAAUUCAGUGAAUCAUCGAAUCUUUGAACGCACAUUGCGCCCGCUAGUAUUCUGGCGGGCAUGCCUGUCCGUGCGUCAUUUCAACCCUCAAGCCCCCGGGCUUGGUGUUGGGGAUCGGCGAGCCUCCGCGCCCGCCGUCCCCUAAACCUAGUGGCGGUCUCGCUGUAGCUUCCUCUGCGUAGUAGCACACCUCGCACUGGGAAACAGCGCGGCCACGCCGUUAAACCCCCAACUUCUGAACGUUUGACCUCGGAUCAGGUAGGAAUACCCGCUGAACUUAAGCAUAUCAAUAAGCGGAGGA